rnacentral:snoRNA from 2 species
UUUUGGAUAUGAUGUUAUCUAUCAGAGGCUGUUUCUGAGGAUGAGCCAUAGCUUCUCCCAGUGCUGCAAAAAAACUGAUUUGCCGUUCUGAUCAAAAG